UUCAACUCCACCGGCGGGGCUCCAGGAAGGUGCUUUGGGGCGGAGGAAGAAGGACGGACCUUCCCCGGGCUCGGGGCACCGCAAGCCAGCUCCAUCACCUGGAAUCCCCUCUCCGCUCCCCCGGCCCAGCAAAGCUUAUGGCUGCAGACUCAGGACAGAGAAGAACCUUUGGCCCGUCCGUGCCAUUUACAAACGGCGCAAGCUGGACUGGAGUCGCUGCGGCUGGAUUUGGAAAAGGCUGAAUAUCGGUUCGUUACCAGCAGUGGGCUUGAAGUUAGGGUUUCUCAGAUGCAGCAGCGUCGGAGUCCGUGGGUGCUUUUAGUUACGCAGGUUGUGGUGGGAUAAACGUGAGAGAGGAGUCACCCGGGAAGUCAGACGGGGGAAUUACUCUUUGGCACUCCCUCCGCGUCAGAUAGAGCAACUCCUCUGUCAGGCGCAGGACGGGAAAGGCUCCUUGUACGGAGCACUUGGGGUGUCAGGCCAGGCUGCUCAAGCAGGGGCUGGUGUACUGCGCUGCUCACUGCCUCCCAGCUCCUCCUCGGCAGCUCCCGGAGAUCGAGGACAGGGCGAGCAGUACGUGGUGCAGAUCGGCUCUCAGAUGUGCACCCAUUGAGCUUAUGGCACCGGCGAGCCCUCCGCCCCAGGAGAGCCGUUGCUCGGGCAGGAACGCUGCCACCGGGGACAACCGCGUGCUGCCGGAGCCGUGCUGAAACGCAGGUGAGCAGGGCAGGGGGGAGUGCAGGAAGGACAAUCCUGGUCAGAUGCUCCUAGAAGCUUGCGCGGCACGUUUCAGACCCCUUGGCACCAGCGCUAUCCUCUCUGACCCCUUCCCUCUGCUCUCGCCGUGGCCUCCCGGCUGGCAGGCGGGCCAGUCCGUCUGUCCAAGGAAACUUCUGGAAAGCGAACAGCAUCCGUGCCCUAGCAGAGCCGCGCACACCCACUUCCGCUGCACUCAAGGACUUCCUCAGGGCACGCAGUAAGCAGCCUCCCCCUCCCGCUGAUGGAAAGGGUUAAAAGCCACUGACUUUCUUUCCCGGGUCUCCCUGCUUUAAUAGAGAAUCUCCAGCCCCAGUUCUUCCCUGGCCAGGCUGCAGCAACGCAGCUCCCCACUGCUCCCCACCUGCACAGAAUGAAACGCAGGCUGAUCAAUUCUGUCCAUCAUGGUGACAGAAAGGUAAUUUCCUGCCCUUAUCACUCCGUGCUGUCUCAGGCCGGGCACGGGUUUGUUUCCCCUCCAACCAAAUGGUUAUAAAUUGACGCUGUUCGUGGGCUAGUACUUCACCCUGCCUCAGCUCAGGUAUGAAAGAGGCAUAAGGCAUCAGAAAAACAAAACCGAAAAAGCCUAUUUCUCUCCUACUUCCCAUAAAUAAAUAUCACAAGUGGAAAGUCA